AGGGCCCCACACCAGCCCCAGCCAGGCUCCACACCCUCAGCCCCACCCUGGCCAGGGCGCGGCGCCCCACACAGCAGAACACUUCCGGCCACGACUCCACUCAGGGCCCCACACCAGCCCCAGCCAGGCUCCACACCCUCAGCCCCACCCUGGCCAGGCGCGGCGCCCCACACAGCAGAACACUUCCGGCCACGACUCCACUCAGGGCCGCACACCAGCCCCAGCCAGGCUCCACACCCUCAGAGAUGGCAGAAUAAAAGAAAACUGAGUAUUAGACAUCUGGUGAGCUGCAGGAAGGGUUGGGGGCGAGGCUGUGUUAUAUGGCUAAAAGUGUUUGCAAGACACUCCGCCAUGCCACUGGGAUCACUAACUGUUGACCCGUGCCCCAUCAGGACGUCAUUGUCUCCAGUCGUGUGGUCCAGUGAGUCACCGCUCUACCGCACGACAGUGACCCCAAGGAAGUC